rnacentral:tRNA from 1 species
GUUUUAGUAGCUCAGUUGGUAGAGCACAAGGCUGAAAACUUUGGGGUCGCUGGUUCGAGUCCAGUCUAAAACA